rnacentral:rRNA from 1 species
CUACGGGUCGCUCCAGUGGGGAAUAUUGCGCAAUGGAGGAAACUCUGAUGCAGCAACGCCGCGUGGAGGAUGACACUUUUCGGAGCGUAAACUCCUUUUAUAUAGGAAGAAGAUGACGGUACUAUAUGAAUAAGCGCCGACUAACUCCGUGCCAGCAGCCGCGGUAAUACGGAGGGCGCAAGCGUUACUCGGAAUCACUGGGCGUAAAGAGCGUGUAGGCGGAUUAAAAAGUCAGAAGUGAAAUCCUAUAGCUUAACUAUAGAACUGCUUCUGAAACUCUUAAUCUAGAAUAUGGGAGAGGUAGAUGGAAUUUCUGGUGUAGGGGUAAAAUCCGUAGAGAUCAGAAGGAAUACCGAUUGCGAAGGCGAUCUACUAGAACAUUAUUGACGCUGAGACGCGAAAGCGUGGGGAGCAAACAGGAUUAGAUACCCGCGUAGUC